GUACCACUAGUUGUGAACUCUUGAAUCAACCCUAAUUCAUAAUAAUAGUGUAUUUUGUCACGAUCUUGACCAAGCAUCCUGUUAUUAAGAUCUGGAGGAAAACUUGUUUUACUUCACGCAUUCCAAACAACUUAGCAUGUGAAACCUGUACUGAGAGAAUUGCAGCUUCCAAGUGGUAUUGCGAAAAGAAUGCACCCCUGCUUUGUAAAACAAACAUAUUCAUACACGAGACCCGAACUACUUUAUUAUGUUUGUGUCCUUUCUUACUUUUUGAGGAAAGGUGACACUUCGCACAUUUACAAGAAAAAUCUCAGGUCUUCCUAUUCGUAUGGUCUUAGAAAUUGCUUUAUGUUUCCACCUAUCGUUGUCAACAUGGUUAUGUUAGAAGUUCUGAGGAUGUUAUCCACAAGAUGGAUGUAUUGAAUCCUCAGACAUGCAGGACCUUGUUGGAGAAGCUGACACUUGAUAAACACCUCUAUGUUUGGGUGUUCGAAGAACCUGUGCCUACGGCUCCCACCAUAUUGCAGAGUCUUUUCAGUUGGGACACCUGUACACAACCAUGCAAGCGUAGAAGGCGUUACUUCUCUAACUCAACGAGCACAUUCAUGUUAUAAGAGAAACUUGGUUUGUGUGCGAAGUUUUGGAAAGCGUUGUCUUGUCUAAUUGUGUGGAAUUGUAAAAUAUAUCCGCGGUCACUGAAUUUGAGUCAUAUAUUCUUUUUGGUCACUGAACUUCAAUAUACUCGAAAUAUGUUCACUAA